rnacentral:rRNA from 1 species
UACAUGUGGGGCAAGCGUUGUUCGGAAUUACUGGGCAUAAAGGGUGCGUAGGCGGUUUGUUAAGUCACAGGUGAAAGUUUUCGGCCCAACCGGAAAAUUGCCUGCGAUACUGGCGAACUUGAGUGCGUGAGGGGUAGGGGGAACGAGCAGUGUAGCGGUGAAAUGCGUAGAUAUUGGGAGGAACACCAGUGGCGAAGGCGGCUCGCUGGACCGGUUCUGACGCUGAGGCGCGAAAGCGUGGGGAGCAAACAGG